rnacentral:rRNA from 1 species
GAUGAACGCUGGCGGCGUGCCUAAUACAUGCAAGUAGAACGCUGAAGCUUGGUGCUUGCACCGAGCGGAUGAGUUGCGAACGGGUGAGUAACGCGUAGGUAACCUGCCUCUUAGCGGGGGAUAACUAUUGGAAACGAUAGCUAAUACCGCAUAAAAGUCGAUAUCGCAUGAUAUUGAUUUGAAAGGUGCAAAUGCAUCACUAAGAGAUGGACCUGCGUUGUAUUAGCUAGUUGGUGAGGUAACGGCUCACCAAGGCGACGAUACAUAGCCGACCUGAGAGGGUGAUCGGCCACACUGGGACUGAGACACGGCCCAGACUCCUACGGGAGGCAGCAGUAGGGAAUCUUCGGCAAUGGGGGCAACCCUGACCGAGCAACGCCGCGUGAGUGAAGAAGGUUGUCGGAUCGUAAAGCUCUGUUGUAAGAGAAGAACGAGUGUGAGAGUGGAAAGUUCACACUGUGACGGUAACUUACCAGAAAGGGACGGCUAACUACGUG